GCCUGGGUGGCUCAGUCGGUUGAGCGUCUGACUUUGGCUUAGGUCAUGAUCUCUCGGUCCAUGGGUUCGAGCCCCACUUCGGGCU
rnacentral:tRNA from 1 species